rnacentral:rRNA from 1 species
UACGUAGGGAGCAAGCGUUGUCCGGAAUCAUUGGGCGUAAAGCGCGCGUAGGCGGCCCUGUAAGUCCGCUCUGAAAGUCAAAGGCUCAACCUUUGAAAGCGGGUGGAUACUGCGGGGCUAGAGUCCGGAAGAGGCGAGUGGAACUCCUGGUGUAGCGGUGGAAUGCGCAGAUAUCAGGAAGAACACCGACGGCGAAGGCAGCUCGCUGGGACGGUACUGACGCUGAGGCGCGAAAGCGUGGGGAGCGAACAGG